CUAAGAGCGACGGACUCGGAGAGGCUCUUUGCGCGGAAUUAGGAAGCCGGUUUUACUGUAUUUUAAUCAGUGCAAUCGCGGCGCCUGAGCUUCAGCCGAGAAGGGUAAAGGCGGAUGUGGGUCAUCAAAGGCUAAGCCCAAGAAAAGAAUAUUAAUAGUAGCCUUGAAUCCUGUCCGCUUUCUUUAUAUAUUUUAUGGAGUAUGCAGGUUUUCUUAAUAGGGUUUUGCUUUGUUUUGUUUCUGUAACUAAUCAGGCUCCUUUCUCUUUCCACCAUCAAGAGUUCAUCCUCUGCCUACUAAAAGAGUGCACUUGAGCAAGAAAAAAGAAGAAGGAAGCGAGUCUCCAGAUCACACAGCAUGAUAAAGGACAAAGAAGCCUUCCAGAGACUGAAUUUCCUCUAUCAGGCAGCGCAUUGUGUGCUCGCCCAAAACCCAAAUAAUCAAGAGUUGGCUCGUUUCUACUGUCACACCCAAAACAACAUCAGCCGGCGGCUCGUCUUGAGACAGGACCCUUCCGUAAAAAGGACCAUCUGCAAAUCCUGCUUCUCUCUUCUCAUUCCUGGAGUCAGCUCAACUGUUCGCCAAAGAAAGCGCCGUCAUCAACGUUGGACUGUUGUGCAGUGCCUGAACUGUGGCCUAAGCAAGCGUUUCCUCAGUAACCCUGACUACAAGUUGUGGUCGGAGCAGCCUGAGGCAUUGCUGGAGAACCAAACGCCAGCCGGUGCAGGCACCAAAGGCCAGACCUCCAGUGCAGCACAAGAGCCACACAAAGCCUCCCAAAUGGGAAAGGCAACAGUCCCGAGUUCCAGUCCGUGCAACUGUCUUGCCUCUAUCACAGCUGGCACCCAGUCAAUAGGAGCAAAGAGUGGGAAGUGACAUCUGCCUUGGGAUUGUUUCAUUUUUGUAACCCAGGAGUGAAUCACCUGCCUUGGAUGGAAGAAGCCAGCAAGAUGACAUUCAGGACAAGAGAAAGUCGAGGAAUUAUACUUUCCAAAAGUUCAACUUGCUACUUGAAGAACUUCAAUGAGUGCACCUCAGAUCUGAAGCACCGCUGAUGUUCCUGUCAGAAGAACUUAGUGAAAAGGUGACAAAAGAAAGUUUCAGCCUCAUGUCACUUUUGUGUACCAGAUAAAUUACCAGAAACUG